rnacentral:rRNA from 1 species
UACGAAGGGGGCUAGCGUUGUUCGGAUUUACUGGGCGUAAAGCGCACGUAGGCGGAUUGUUAAGUCAGGGGUGAAAUCCUGGAGCUCAACUCCAGAACUGCCUUUGAUACUGGCAAUCUUGAGUCCGGAAGAGGUGAGUGGAACUCCUAGUGUAGAGGUGGAAUUCGCAGAUAUCAGGAGGAACACCGGUGGCGAAGGCGGAUCUCUGGGCCAUUACUGACGCUGAGGAGCGAAAGCGUGGGGAGCGAACAGG